rnacentral:tRNA from 1 species
UGGAAUAUUGGUCAUGGGAAAGACAAAUUAUUUGCUAUAUAAUGAAGGUAACUUCUGAUAGGUUCGAACCCUAUAUAUUCCGA